rnacentral:rRNA from 1 species
AUUGAACGCUGGCGGCAGGCCUAACACAUGCAAGUCGAACGAGUGGCGGACGUGUGAGUAAGGUCUGGGAAUCUGCCUGAUGGAUGGGGUUCACUACUGGAAACGGUAGCUAAUACCGCCUAGCAUCAGAUGGGCCCGGAUGGGAUUAGCGUGUUGGUGGGGUAAAGGCUCACCAAGGCGACGAUCCCGACCUGGUCUGAGAGGAUGACCAGCAACACUGGAACUGAGACACGGUCCAGACUCCUACGGGAGGCAGCAGUGGGGAAUAUUGCACAAUGGGCGAAAGCCUGAUGCAGCCAUGCCGCGUGUAUGAAGAAGGUCUUCGGGUUGUAAAGUACUUUAAGCGGGGAGGCGUUACCCACAGAAGAAGCACCGGCUAACUCCGUGCCAGCAGCCGCGGUAAUAC